rnacentral:ncRNA from 1 species
UAAUUGAAGAGUUUGAUCAUGGUUCAGAUUGAACGCUGGCGACAGGCCUAACACAUGCAAGUCGAGCGGCAGCGGGAAGAAGCUUGCUUCUUUGCCGGCGAGCGGCGGACGGGUGAGUAAUGUCUGGGGAUCUGCCCGAUGGAGGGGGAUAACUACUGGAAACGGUAGCUAAUACCGCAUAACGUCGCAAGACCAAAGGGGGGGACCUUCGGGCCUCACACCAUCGGAUGAACCCAGAUGGGAUUAGCUAGUAGGUGGGGUAAUGGCUCACCUAGGCGACGAUCCCUAGCUGGUCUGAGAGGAUGACCAGCCACACUGAAACUGAGACACGGUCCAGACUCCUACGGGAGGCAGCAGUGGGGAAUAUUGCACAAUGGGGGAAACCCUGAUGCAGCCAUGCUGCGUGUGUGAAGAAGGCCUCCGGGUUGUAAAGCACUUUCAGCGGGGAGGAAGGCGAUGGCGUUAAUAGCGCCAUCGAUUGACGUUACCCGCAGAAGAAGCACCGGCUAACUCCGUGCCAGCAGCCGCGGUAAUACGGAGGGUGCGAGCGUUAAUCGGAAUUACUGGGCGUAAAGCGUACGCAGGCGGUCUGUUAAGUCAGAUGUGAAAUCCCCGGGCUCAACCUGGGAACUGCAUUUGAAACUGGCAGGCUAGAGUCUCGUAGAGGGGGGUAGAAUUCCAGGUGUAGCGGUGAAAUGCGUAGAGAUCUGGAGGAAUACCGGUGGCGAAGGCGGCCCCCUGGACGAAGACUGACGCUCAGGUACGAAAGCGUGGGGAGCAAACAGGAUUAGAUACCCUGGUAGUCCACGCUAUAAACGAUGUCGAUUUGAAGGUUGUGGCCUUGAGCCGUUGGCUUUGAGCCUGUUUAGAAAUUUGUGUAUUUGCCUGAUUUUGAUAUGUUCAAUC